UAGCUCAAUUGGUAAAGAAUCUGCCUGCAAUGCAGAAGACCCUGGUUCAAUUCCUGG
rnacentral:tRNA from 1 species